rnacentral:rRNA from 1 species
UCGUAUUCGCUUGAGUAAAAGAUUAAGCCAUGCAAGUUUAAAUACAAGACCACAGCAAUGUAGGUCGAGAUUGCGAACGGCUCAUUAAAUCAGCAAUAAUUAAAUCGGUGAAAGAGGAAACUCAACAUGGAUAACCGUGGAAAAUCUAGAGCUAAUACAUGCAAAAACAAUCUCGUAAAGAGAAGCGUAUAUUAGAAGAAAAGCCAUCCAAUUUUUGAAAAAAAAAAAGAAAAAGGUGAAUCAUAAUAUCCAAGCAGAUCGCGAAAAACGAAAGUAGAAGCGACAAACCGAACAAAUUUCUGCCCUAUCAACUUUGGACGGUAGCAUAGAGGGCUACGGUGGUUAUGACGGGUAACGGAGAAUUAGGGUUCGAUUCCGGAGAGGGGGCAUGAGAAAUGGCCACCACUUCCAAGGAAGGCAGCAGGCGCGUAAAUUAUCCAAUGGGGACACCCCGAGAUAGUGACAACAAAUAACAAUGGUUGUAUAUAAAAGUAUAACCAAUUGGAAUGAAGACAAUUUAAACCCCUUACUGAGAAUCAAUU